rnacentral:lncRNA from 1 species
GGGAUCAAACUCGGGACCUUUCGCUUGUGAGGCAGGCGGCGGAACCACUGAGCUAAAUCCCUGGCCCUAUGGAAGACUGCGCUGCUGGAGCCCUGACUCAGGUCUCUGCAUAGAGGGAAUUGAUGGCCCUAUCAACUGUGUCACCACCCACCACUCCCACAAACUGAAACAUGUCUGGUGUCUGGAAAGAAGAUUUGAGUUAGAAUGUGGCCUCCCUCACUUAGCAGAUACAUGAUGGUGCCAGGUUAUUUAACUUCCUAGAGCCUCAUCUUCCUCUGUAACAGAGAGAUAAUAACUUUUUCAUAAAUUUUGUGGAGAGAAUUAAACUGAUAUACUAUUUGCAUAAUUAGAGUGCUCAGCUAUAAACUAUUUUUUUGAGAUGUGGUCUUCGCUAAGUUGCCCAGUGUUAUGGCUUGUGUCUAGAUGUCUCCCCACAGCCUCAUGAGGUCAUAGGGGGGGCUUUUUGGAGGUGGCUGGAUCCAGCAUGUGAGAUAAUGGGGCCUCACAAUCCCUGACUUUAAAUUAUACUACAAAGCUAUGGUGUUAAAAACAGUGUGGUACUGGCAAAAGAACAGACCUGAGGAUCAAUGGAACAGAUUAGAGGAUGCAGAAACAAUUCCAGACACACUCAGCCACCUUAUCUUUGACAAAGGAGGCAAACACCUUCACUGGAAGAAAGAGAGCCUCUUUAAUAAAUGGUGCUGGAAAAACUGGUUUUCCACAUGUUGAAGAUUGAAACUAGACCCAUAUCUUUCACCAUGCACUAACCUCAAAUAGAAAUGGAUCAGGCAGGGGAUUUAGCUCAGUGGUUCUGCCACCUGCCUUGCAAGGGCAAGGUCCGAAGUUUGAUCCCCAGGAGAAAAAAAUAAAAUAAAAUAAAAAGAAAUGGAUUAAAUAUUAAAACAGAAACACUAAACCUGGUGGAAGAGAGAAUAGGUAGAAUGCUUGAAGACAUAGGAGUGGGCAAAGACUUCAUAAACAAAACACAGACUGCAUGAGAAAUACUACAAAGAAUCAACUACUGGGACCUCAUCUUAUUAAAAAUCUUUGCACAGCAAGAGAAACCACCAACAGAGCAAAGAGACAACCCACAAUGUGGGAAAAUUUUUUACCAGGUAUUCAGAUAAAGGACUAUUAUCUAGAAUAUAUAAAGAACUCAAAAAAAUCAGACCCCCCAAAUUUAAAGACCCAAUCCAAAAAUGCGGAUCUGAAAUGAAAAGACAUUUCUCAGAUGAAGAAUUAGAGAUGGCAAAUAAAUACAUGAAAAAAAAUUCAACAUCAC